rnacentral:rRNA from 1 species
CCUACGGGAGGCAGCAGUAGGGAAUUUUCGUCAAUGGGCGCAAGCCUGAACGAGCGAUGCCGCGUGAGUGAAGAAGGCCUUCGGGUCGUAAAGCUCUGUUGCGGGGGAAAAAAGGCAGCAUCAGGAAAUGGGUGCUGACUGAUGGUGCCCCGCCAGAAAGUCACGGCUAACUACGUGCCAGCAGCCGCGGUAAUACGUAGGUGGCGAGCGUUGUCCGGAAGGAUUGGGCGUAAAGGGUGCGCAGGCGGUCCUGCAAGACUGGAGUGAAACGCAUGAGCUCAACUCAUGCAUGGCUUUGGAAACUGGAGGACUGGAGAGCAGGAGAGGGCGGUGGAACUCCAUGUGUAGCGGUAAAAUGCGUAGAUAUAUGGAAGAACACCAGUGGCGAAGGCGGCCGCCUGGCCUGUUGCUGACGCUGAGGCACGAAAGCGUGGGGAGCAAAUAGGAUUAGAUACCCCAGUAGUC